rnacentral:rRNA from 1 species
GGCGAAAGCUAGAGCGAGCGAGCUAGAUGGAACGACCUCCAAAAAAUGGCGCGACAGUUAUUAGGGUGCCGGACAAAGAAAACUGCGAUGAGAAAGAACGAGUUCGCCUACUGCCCACCCGGAACACGAGAGCGCCCGGACUCGAACCGUCACACGCACGAAACACACACAGGGACGCAAACCCACUUGUUUUAUAAUUGACGCAGCCAGCGCAGGAGGAGGGGUGGUUAGCGCGUAGGAGGAUGGGUGGUUAGGGGGUAGGAGUAGGUCGGGUGGUUAGGGGCGGAGGAGGAGGGGUGGUUGGGAUCGGUACGGGAGCGGCGGUGGAAAGGAAGGGGCAAGUAGGAGAGGUCGUCGGCCGCGGUGAAGACAGAGAGGAGGAAAGAGGAACAGUGGUAGUAGCGCUCACGGGUGGGCAACCUAGUCCACCAGUCACGCCCUACGUUAUCGCGUAGACCUGCCUCCUCUUGCGCUGCUAACGUAGAGGACCGUUGCCGUCCCUCCUGCCUACCUACUCCUCCGCUGUCGAGCUCUCCAUCCGUUCCUUUGCUGAGUUACGGAGGAACCUCGAGGUGGGAUAGUGCUACACACGUCUAGACUCUUUCUUAUCUUCUCCUUCUUAUGGUUCCUUCUCAAACCACUUCUUGUUAUUCCACUGUUACACUCAACGUAACUGUCUUAGGUACAUAAUUCGACUCCGUAAAAACCGUCGACGUCGUUGGACUGUUAAUUAAACAAGAGUAGGUUCCAUUAAAUGAAGGGGGGAAAUACAUAGUACCUACCUAUAUACACGACCAACCAACAGUAAUGACUUCGAUCUUAACAACUACUACUGAUGGAAACUCGUCCAAAUGGCGAACAGAACGAUUACACUUAAACAUACAAAAGUAAACAAAAAAGAAGAGGUAAAAAAACAUAUUAGAUACCUGCAACAUCCUAUUUACACUUAAUUGUUAUGUUCUUGAAGGUCUUUCAUAAAACGUUGAAGUCUUUAGGUUUUAAUACCAAGACCACAAUUACUAGUCCUACUACGCUAUCGGAGAAAACUAGGCAUAGAUGAAAAAAGCUUCGAACUUUCUAUAUGAACGUCGUGAACUGACUUUACUAGAUUGAACACAAAGGGAAAAAAGAAAAGUAAAGGUCUUACGAAACGACGAUCGUAUUGACACUAGGUAAAAAAUGAGAUGAAAAAGAAUUAGAUAUAUGUACUAACGGUUAAAGGUUGAAGAAUCAAUGUCUUUUAUUUUGUUUUAAGUCAAAUCUACACAGACAACAUCCGUAAUUUUCAAAGUAGUCUCGGGAGUAAGACUUGUAACAAAUUUUACUGUGGGAUAACGGGAACCACGUAUAUAUCUAUAAUGAAAAAUGAAAAAUCAUCUUAUACCUCGAGAAUAAACAGCAUAUCAAAGAAAAAAGCAGACACGUCAACAUGUAGAAACGACGGGGAAAGGAACCACGACUGACUCGAAACGUACAAAUAUAAAUAUAAAAGGACGUAAGAGGGCCACUGGAAAAUAAAACUGUAUAGUUACUUAAUACGUAGAGUGAGGAAGCCUUCGAUUAGAAAUGUAACUGUGACGAUAAACAGAACUUUAGGUUUUAAUACCAAGACCACAAUUACUAGUCCUACUACGCUAUCGGAGAAAACUAGGCAUAGAUGAAAAAAGCUUCGAACUUUCUAUAUGAACGUCGUGAACUGACUUUACUAGAUUGAACACAAAGGGAAAAAAGAAAAGUAAAGGUCUUACGAAACGACGAUCGUAUUGACACUAGGUAAAAAAUGAGAUGAAAAGGAAUUAGAUAUAUGUACUAACGGUUAAAGGUUGAAGAAUCAAUGUCUUUUAUUUUGUUUUAAGUCAAAUCUACACAGACGACAUCCGUAAUUUUCAAAGUAGUCUCGGGAGUAAGACUUGUAACAAAUUUUACUGUGGGAUAACGGGAACCACGUAUAUAUCUAUAAUGAAAAAUGAAAAAUCAUCUUAUACCUCGAGAAUAAACAGCAUAUCAAAGAAAAAAGCAGACACGUCAACAUGUAGAAACGACGGGGAAAGGAACCACGACUGACUCGAAACGUACAAAUAUAAAUAUAAAAGGACGUAAGAGGGCCACUGGAAAAUAAAACUGUAUAGUUACUUAAUACGUAGAGUGAGGAAGCCUUCGAUUAGAAAUGUAACUGUGACGAUAAACAGAACUAGAAUAAACAUGGUACCUCCUCUUAUUGAGAAAUCUGGGAUGACAUACCAUUUGAAGAAACAAGUAGUCUACACUGUAAAAAUAUUGUGAUACAAAAGACAUGUCAACCCUUGAAGAUCUUUUUUACUGUAAACCAACCAAGCUAAGGUCUAACCAGAGUGGAAUAAGGAAAAUCUACCUACGAUACCAGAAGGGACGUCUACGACCGGUCAAUUCCAAACAACGUUUAUUAUCACCUACAACCCGACGGAGGUGUGGCGUUCUCUACCUCUACCAACUGCAGCCUUGGCCACCAACUCCAGCUCAUGCGGAGCAACAGCAGCGGCAGAUGUAGGCAAUGCACACUCCUUGAACGACAAAGACCGUGGUCUAAGUCGUUCCUCCUAUAGAUACUCCGGAAAGUAAGAACACCCUAAGGGUGUGUAGAACGUUCAAGUUCCCCCACUCGAGUCGACUUACGCGCCGCUGCAUGACAUGGAAACGUUCGGCUCAUAGAACGAGAUUAAACAACUGUCCCAUUCUCUCCCGAGUUCUUUCUCUGUUCUUGAACACGAAGUUCGUCGCUUAUAUCGGUCGGAUCUACUAAGUUUUGUUCUUGUUCACAGCCCUUCAAUGUCUACUCCUUCACGUCGACCGAUGAUACACGUACAGUCCCUGUCUUCAACGAUCUCUUUCGAGGCUGUAAUAUUAGAAUCUACUACUGAAGCGUAGACAACACUUCCCGUUUAGAAGUGACUUAGAACCUCUCACUACCUUCUAUUACCCGGGUUCGAAAAUCCUUGCGGUUCCUAGGUUAAAGUUCGAAACCGGAGAAGGUGUUUAAGCGGCAAGUUAGUCCUCCAGUCGAAAAGGAAGCAUUAAAACGUUAAAUGAAGUACCUUAGUAUCAUUUCCACCUGUUCAUCUUAUGGUCAAGUUUUAAAGUAAAGAAGAAUUACUAAUUACAUUUGUAUCGGUGGAUCCACUAGUAACGUAUCCAGAUGACCUUUAACCAGGAUCUCCUCGAGAGGUACUUCAAAGAUGUUCUUGGUUUUAGUUAGGAUGUUCGUAGUCUAUAUAGUCUCCUUCGUACCAAGGGUUCACGUAACGAAUUAUAAGUACUUACAACAGAUGUUGGUACCGGAAGGGUUUUGUUCUGUUGUGUUAAUAAGAGACCUCCCUGUUCCCUAGACUACUAAUAGGUCACUUGACAUACAGAAACUUCCUCGAAACGUGAGUUGUCUACAUAUGUAGAAAUUAGUUUGAUUCUCACCCUCUAUACGUAUUUGUAAAAAACCCUAUGUAUUGGUGAGAAGCUUGGAAUCGGUCUAAGAAGUUAGAAACCCCAAUUAGAAAAACACUUUUCUUAAAGUCCUUGUACCUUUUUACCGGUUGAAACGAAACAUGUUUUUUCCAUCUCUACUAUUAGAUAAAUAGAGAGUGACUUGAUGAGACUUAAAACACCAUGGACCACUUCAAAUUUUUUACCAAUAAGGAACGAUGGAAAUUACUAGUUACUAUAACUUACACACUGAUUUAUCAAGACGAGUUCGUGAGGAACCUGAGAAGUCUACCAUAACAGUUUCGAAACCGACUCUCUAAUAUAAUCAUCACCAAGGAUUUGUAAUUAGUAAGUCAGUUUCUGUGACCAACACUAGUCUUGUAGUUAGUUCUCGCACCUUAUAAACUCGACUCUUUAUGAUCGUACGACGGUUACUAAUCACCAAUCUCCAAAAAGUAGAUAGUACAAAUUGGUUCCAUUGGUAUAGUCCAUCUAACGUAGCGUAGAUUUUGCAAAGGACUUCUAAGUACUAUGAAACCGACGUGAAGUGAUGUACAGAGAGCGACACACUUCCAAGGCUACUACUGUACCCGCUACCGAUGUGAUUGAUAUACACUAACGGUCUCGGUCAUUUAAUUACAAUUCUGUGAGACAAUACGAGAUCGGGUCAUAUAACACUUGUGAUACCCCAACAAACCAAGAUCCGGAUCCUUACGGUGUGAAACGGUAUGUUACAACGGUUUGAACGGAUUCCAAUCAAGAAGUUUUACUCUCGGUGUUCAACCGUUCGGAUUUCCUUAGAACGGUGUGAACAACACACAUACACUACACCCUGGUAUCACACCGAACGGAUUCUACACCGAACUUGGUUUGUGUGUGGAUUCAACCAGUUUAAACGGAUUGGAAUCCACACCGUUCGAAACCGUUUAAAUCAGAGUUUGGUUUGUUGGAGAUACAUAAGACGGGCGAGAUUUUUGAAGUACGUAGUGAACACAAUCAAUCAACGAAUCUAUUGAAAGAGAUAGGUGACAUUAUACACGUAAACGAUACAUAACUUGGAUGGUAGUUACCGUACAAGACAUGGUCGUAAAGGGACAUACGAACAACUAGCAGCAUAUAAAAGAAGUUGUGAAUAUACGGGAGAAAGUCAUAUCAAUAUAACACCCAAGAUGAAUACAUUCUCGUGUGAAGAUAAGAAGAAGAAACAAACUUACGGGAGAUAAAAAGGACACAAAAGGAAGAGGUGCUACUCCAGUUAAAGCUAUGGCUACUGUAUCUGUCGUUACUGAGAUGGACUAGAAUCAAUGGUAUUCGACCCACUGGUUUCGAUAAAGAUACCGUGUAGAGACGGAUACAUGGAAGCGAAUAUAGUACUUAACUAGAGUACGGAAAUAAAACGUUAUACUUGGAUGGUAGUUACAUUAUAUAUCCCGGUACAUACUUGUAGUAUGGAUUUGUAGAUGAGGGAGGCAAGGCAAGGAUUUAUGUUCAGAAAAAUGUCUAAAGUUUCGCCUGAUGUAUGCCACGUAGUUUCUAAACGAAGAAAGCUAUUAAUUAUAAUCAAUAGGUAAACGUCAUAUUAAUUAGAGAGAUUAAUCAUUGUAACAAUAACGUUUACUAGGGUCAUAAAAAAUAAAUGAAAACGUAUAACGAUGAAACUAAUUAUAAGGUGGGUUUCUUAUUAUAAAAAUAUGGAGAUUAAAGAUGAAACGUCGUUACCUAUCAACACGAAAUCAAGGAGAUCGAAAAAAAAGGCUUCUACAUCAAGGAGAUCGGAAAACAUCUUUGAUCCAUGGAGGACAUGAAUCCAUAUAUAUUCAGAAAACAUCUUUGAUAACAAUUAUAGAGUUUUUAUUCUUACAACGGAAAAGGAAAUGAACACAUGAACCUUGGUUUAACAAGCAAUGGUUAACAUAGCCCUGUGAAAAUAUCUUCUAUGCCGAAUGACACGUAACUUUGUUAUCGGCGUCUCAAACCAGAAACAUAAUAGAAACAUAUAAACUAAACCUAAACAGGACUAAAUUCAUUUCCUGGGAGGUAAUCAUGACUUGGCAAAACACAAGUAAGACAACAACAGAGGUCUGUAAACAUAAACCUCUUAGUAAGACUUUGGUCCCAAGUUUCGCGACUCUUUUAUACCAAGAUAAAGAGUUAGAACACGAUU